UACGGGGGGAGCAAGCGUUGUUCGGAUUUACUGGGCGUAAAGGGUGCGUAGGCGGGUUUUAAGUCAGAGGUGAAAUCCUGGAGCUCAACUCCAGAACUGCCUUUGAUACUGGCGAUCUCGAGUCCGGGAGAGGUGAGUGGAACUGCGAGUGUAGAGGUGAAAUUCGUAGAUAUUCGCAAGAACACCAGUGGCGAAGGCGGCUCACUGGCCCGGUACUGACGCUGAGGUGCGAAAGCGUGGGGAGCAAACAGG
rnacentral:rRNA from 1 species